rnacentral:rRNA from 1 species
GAUAGGCUCGAGGGACGUAGAGGAGGCGGAACUCUCGGAGUAGCGGUGGAAUGCGUAGAUACCGAGAGGUACCCCGAUGGUGAAGACAGCCUCCAGGGCGUCACCUGACACUGAAGCGCUAAGGCCAGGGGAGCAAAGGGGAUUAGAUACCCCCGUAGUCCUGGCUUCAAACGAUGUGGGCUUGGUGUCGGCUCCCGAAGAGAGUCGUUGCCGGAGCUAACGUGUUAAGCCCACCGCCUGGGGAUUACGUCCGCAAGGAUGAAACUCAAGGGAAUUGACGGGGGCCCACACAACCGGUGGAGCACGUGGUUUAAUUCGAUGAUAAGCGAAGAACCUUACCAGGACUUGACAUGUCGGUAGUAGGACCCUGAAAAGGGAACGAACCAAAGCUUUGCUUUGGUAGCCGUCACAGGUAUUGCAUGGCUGUCGUCAGCUCGUGUCGUGGGACGUUGGGUUAAGUCUCGUAACGAGCGCAACCCCUGCCCUUAAUUGCCAGCGCAUUUGGCGGGUACUAUAAGGGGACUGCCGGAGAAUAUCCGGAGGAAGGAGGGGACGACGUCAAGUCAUUAUGAUCCUUAUGUUCUGGGCGACACACGUGCUACAAUGGGCACUACAGUGGGGAGCCAAUCCGCAAGGAUGAGCAAAUCCCAAAAAGGUGCCCCCAGUGCGGAUUGGGGUCUGCAACCCGACCCCAUGAAG